rnacentral:rRNA from 1 species
UACAGAGGGUGCGAGCGUUAAUCGGAAUUACUGGGCGUAAAGGGCGCGUAGGCGGUGUAUUAAGUUAGAUGUGAAAUCCCUGGGCUUAACCUAGGAACUGCAUCUAAGACUGAUACGCUAGAGUGCGGUAGAGGAUAGUGGAAUUCCCGGUGUAGCGGUGAAAUGCGCAGAUAUCGGGAGGAACACCAGCGGCGAAGGCGGCACUCUGGGCUGGUACUGACGCUGAGGAGCGAAAGCGUGGGUAGCAAACAGG